rnacentral:rRNA from 1 species
ACGAACGCUGGCGGCGUGCUUAACACAUGCAAGUCGAACGGUGAAGCGCCUUCCUUUUUGGUGGGUGUGGAUGAGUGGCGAACGGGUGAGUAACACGUGAGUAACCUGCCCCCUUCUUCUGGAUAACCGCAUGAAAGUGUGGCUAAUACGGGAUAUUCUGGGUCUGUCGCAUGAUGGGUCUGGGAAAGAUAUUGUUUCGGUGGGGGAUGGGCUCGCGGCCUAUCAGCUUGUUGGUGGGGUGAUGGCCUACCAAGGCGGUGACGGGUAGCCGGCCUGAGAGGGUGGACGGUCACACUGGGACUGAGACACGGCCCAGACUCCUACGGGAGGCAGCAGUGGGGAAUAGUGCACAAUGGGCGCAAGCCUGAUGCAGCGACGCCGCGUGAGGGAUGGAGGCCUGCGGGUUGUGAACCUCUUUCGCCAGUGAAGCAGGCCUGCCUCGUUUGUGGGUGGGUUGACGGUAGCUGGAUAAGAAGCGCCGGCUAACUACGUG